AAUCAACGCUGGCGGCAUGCCUAACACAUGCAAGUCGAACGGGAAAGUGGGAGCAAUCCCAUGAGUAUAGUGGCGCACGGGUGAGUAAUACGUGACUAACCUACCUCGAGUGGGGAAUAACCCGGGAACCGGGCUAACACCGCAUAAUACCGCAAGGGUCAAAUGCGCAAAGCAGCUUGAGGAGGGGGUCGCGGUUGAUUAGCUAGUUGGUAGGGUAAUGGCCUACCAAGGCAGNGAUCAAUAGCCGGCCUGAGAGGGCGCACGGCCACACUGGAACUGAAACACGGUCCAGACUCCUACGGGAGGCAGCAGUGGGGAAUUUGCGCAAGUGGGGGAAACCCUGACGCAGCAAUGCCGCGUGGAGGAUGAAGU
rnacentral:rRNA from 1 species